CGCCAGACUCCUACGGGAGGCAGCAGUGGGGAAUAUUGCACAAUGGGGGAAACCCUGAUGCAGCGACGCCGCGUGAGUGAAGAAGUAUUUCGGUAUGUAAAGCUCUAUCAGCAGGGAAGAAAAUGACGGUACCUGACUAAGAAGCCCCGGCUAACUACGUGCCAGCAGCCGCGGUAAUACGUAGGGGGCAAGCGUUAUCCGGAUUUACUGGGUGUAAAGGGAGCGUAGACGGCAUGGCAAGUCAGAUGUGAAAGCCCGGGGCUCAACCCCGGGACUGCAUUUGAAACUGUCAGGCUGGAGUGCAGGAGAGGUAAGUGGAAUUCCUAGUGUAGCGGUGAAAUGCGUAGAUAUUAGGAGGAACACCAGUGGCGAAGGCGGCUUACUGGACUGCAACUGACGUUGAGGCCCGAAAGCGUGGGGAGCAAACAGGAUUAGAUACCCCCGUA
rnacentral:rRNA from 1 species